rnacentral:tRNA from 1 species
UAAACUUUAAGUUAAAUAAACUAGAGGUCUUCAAAACCUUCAAUAAGAAACUCUUAAGUUUAA